rnacentral:lncRNA from 1 species
AAAAAAGUUAGUGACAGUGCCAAAGAUUCAGGCUUACUCAUGGAACUUUACAUUUGAGGGAUCAAAAUGUAAUUAGAUAUGCUUUCAUUGUGCAAAUAGUUUUUGGUUGAAAAUAUCUGUGAAACUGCAUUCUUGUUUUUCCUUUCACAGGGGUUUAUACCGCAGGUCUAGUUAUCUACACUAUAUAUACAAAAUAUGUGGACACCCCUUAUAAUUAGUGGAUUCAGCUAUUUCAGCCACACCCAUUGCUAACAGGUGUAUAAAAUUUAGCAUACAGCCACACACUCUCCAUAGACAAACAUUGGCAGUAGAAUGGCCUUACUAAAGAGGUCAGUGACUUUCAAUGUGGCACCAUCAACAACAAGUCAGUUCGUCAAAUUUCUGCCCUGCUAGAGCUUCCCCGGUCAACUGUAAGUGUUGUUAUUGUGAAGUGGAGACGUCUAGGAGCAACAACGGCUCAGCCAUGAGGUGGUAGGCCACACAAGCUCACAGAACGGGACCACCGAGUGCUGAAACGCGUAGCACGUAAAAAUCGUCUGUCCUCGGUUGCAACACUCACUACUGACUUCCAAACUGCCUAUUGAAGCAACGUCAGCACAAUAACUGUUCGUCAGGAGCUUCAUGAAAUGGGUUUCCAUGGCCGAGCAGCCACGCACAAGCCUAAGAUCACCAUGCGCAAUGCCAAGCGUUGGCUGGAGUGGUGUAAAGUUUGUCGCCAUUGGACUCUGGAGCAGUGGAAACACGUUCUCUGGAGUGAUGAAUCACGCUUCACCAUCUAGCAGUCCGACAAACUAAUCUGGGUUUGGCGGAUGCCAGGAGAACGCUACCUGCCCAAAUGCAUAGUGCCAAUUGUCAAGUUAGGUGGAGGAGGAAUAAUGGUCUGGGGCUGUUUUUUAUAGACGGCCCCUUCCUGUUUCAGCAUGACAAUGCCCCUGUUCACAAAGCGAGGUCCAUACAGAAAUGGUUUGUCGGUGUGGAAGAACUUGACUGGACUGCACAGAGUCCUGACCUCAACCCCAUCGAACACCUUUGGGAUGAAUUGGAACAGCGACUGCGAGCCAGGCCUAAUCAGACAAAAUCAGUGCCCAACCUCACCAAUGCUCUUGUGGCUGAAUUGUCCCCACAGCAAUGUUCUAACAUCUAGUGGAAAUCUUUCCCAGAAGAGUGGAGGCUGUUAUAGCAGCAAAGAGGGGACCAAAUCCAUAUUAAUGCCCAUGAUUUUGGAAAGAGAUGUUUAACAAGCUCACUCCAGCGUUCAAGUUUCCGGACACCAAGCUAUGAGUUGAAGUGGAGCAGCCAAUGUGAGCGUCUGCGUGUGUGUAGACUAGAGCCAGAGAGACCAACAGGGAUACAUUCAGCGGGUCUAUGAGGGACUGUUUGAUAAGGUCUGCUGCCUUCUACCACCUCUCCUGAAUACCAAGUAACAGAGAAAUGAUAACCUUACACUAGCUGUCUGUCCACUGGGUAAGCAGGGCCUGUCUCCUAUCUUGAGAAGGUCAGUCUGAAAGGUCAAAUAUCCUCCCUGGCCUCACACUGACUGUCUUUACCUCCACAUCUGACUUCAUGUAGGUACAGUAAUAUACAGAAUAUAGACAAUUAAUGAUGGGCCAUUAAUGACAAUUUUUAUUGAUUCAGGUAUAUUUGAGAUUAUCAUGUUGUUACUACCAGGAUCAAGAAGAGAGAACAAGAGUACGUGAAUCAAAUUUAGACCUACUGUACCAGCAUAAUAAUGCUAUGCCCAUGUAUUUGUGGGCAAAGUAUAGUUUGUCAAUGAUAAUGUGAUAAUGUUUAAAAAUGUAAAGCAAUAUAUACCUGAAAUUAAAUAGUACAAUGGAACAUCUCAUUCUUAAGGUAUUUGAUUGUGUCUUAGGGCAUCUUACUUGCAUGGGAGUUUGAAGUAGCUGCCAGACAAUAUAUUCUAUGAGAGCUAAUUGCAUCUCUUUGUCACUAAGACAAGCCCAGGGACUGGCAGAGGAGAUAGAUGUAUGCAUGCAAAAGUCAUACUCCCUCACUAGCAAAGACAUUUGGAACAAAACAUGUGAUGGAAAUAAACUGAUGCAUUUUUUAAAAACACUAUUUUUAUAUGGCUAACUGAUGUAGUAAGAGGAUGAAAUAUAUUAUUCAAUGGAGGGACAACUAUUUUAAAUUAGGAAGAAAAUGUAACUUACAAAGUCUUUACACUUGUAAAAACUGGAAGCUUCUACAGGCUGCAGUAUCUGUAUUUAGUGGGAGAUCUUAGCAUGGUAUUGUAGGUUUAAAUCACUUACCAGUAAGUAAAUAGUAUAAAAAGGGAUGAACACCAGUAGAUGCUAUGAUCCUCAAAGACUGACAUACCACAGUAUGUAGUGAAUUUCAGAACAGUUGAUGCACUAGGCCAGGGAUGGGCAACUUUGAUGGGG